AAUGAACGUUGGCGGCGUGGAUUAGGCAUGCAAGUCGUACGCCCCGCAAGGGGCGUGGCGCAAGGGUGAGUAAGGCGACGGCAACCAACCUGGGGGCCGGACAUAGCCGCGGGAAACUGCGGGUAAUAUCCGGCGCCGUCGGGGGCGGGCAUCUGCCCCCGACGAAAGGUGUGACUCCGCCCCCAGACGGGCCGUCGUGGUAUUAGCUAGAUGGCGGGGUAACGGCCCACCAUGGCUGCGAUGCCUACCGGGCGUGCGAGCGUGGCCCGGCACACUGGGACUGGGACACUGCCCAGACACCGACGGGUGGCUGCAGUCGAGAAUCUUCGGCAAUGGGCGCAAGCCUAACCGAGCGACGCCGCGUGGAGGAUGAAGGCCUUCGGGUUGUAAACUCCUGUCGAGGGGGAACAAGGUGGCGCGAAGAGCGUCGCUUGAGUGAUCCCUGGAGGAAGCACGGGCUAAGUUCGUGCCAGCAGCCGCCGUAACAC
rnacentral:rRNA from 1 species